rnacentral:rRNA from 1 species
UUUAUCUGGUAAAGCGAAUGAUUAGAGGUCUUGGGGCCGAAACGAUCUCAACCUAUUCUCAAACUUUAAAUGGGUAAGAAGCCCGGCUCGCUGGCUUGGAGCCGGGCGUGGAAUGCGAGCGCCCAGUGGGCCACUUUUGGUAAGCAGAACUGGCGCUGCGGGAUGAACCGAACGCCGGGUUAAGGCGCCCGAUGCCGACGCUCAUCAGACCCCAGAAAAGGUGUUGGUUGAUAUAGANAGCAGGACGGUGGCCAUG